AACGAACGCUGGCGGCAUGCCUAACACAUGCAAGUCGAACGAGACCUUCGGGUCUAGUGGCGCACGGGUGCGUAACGCGUGGGAACCUGCCCUUAGGUUCGGAAUAACUCCCCGAAAGGGGUGCUAAUACCGGAUAAUGUCUUCGGACCAAAGAUUUAUCGCCUUUGGAUGGGCCGGCGUUGGAUUAGCUAGUUGGUAGGGUAAAAGCCUACCAAGGCGACGAUCCAUAGCUGGUCUGAGAGGAGGAUCAGCCACACUGGGACUGAGACACGGCCCAGACUCCUACGGGAGGCAGCAGUGGGGAAUAUUGGACAAUGGGCGAAAGCCUGAUCCAGCAAUGCCGCGUGAGUGAUGAAGGCCUUAGGGUUGUAAAGCUCUUUUACCCGGGAUGAUAAUGACAGUACCGGGAGAAUAAGCGCCGGCUAACUCCGUG
rnacentral:rRNA from 1 species